UACGAAGGGGGCUAGCGUUGCUCGGAAUCACUGGGCGUAAAGGGUGCGUAGGCGGGUUUUUAAGUCAGGGGUGAAAUCCUGGAGCUCAACUCCAGAACUGCCUUUGAUACUGAAGAUCUUGAGUCCGGGAGAGGUGAGUGGAACUGCGAGUGUAGAGGUGAAAUUCGUAGAUAUCGAGAGGAACACCGGUGGCGAAGGCGGCCAACUGGACGAAUACUGACGCUGAGACACGAAAGCGUGGGGAGCAAACAGG
rnacentral:rRNA from 1 species